AAAUGUGACAUGCUCGCUCAAUCUUCCUGUAUUUGCUUUACUUGUAAAUUAAAUUAUACAUUACACAUAUUUUUCUGUUGAAACAAAUAUAAGGAAGACUGAUGAACAUAGAAAAACAAAGGUAAGUUUACUGAAAAACUGUGCUCUGACUGAUGGUUAAUAUAACUUUCUUCCAGCAGUAAACACUGGUAUCACAACUGGAUAGAUUCCAUAUUAUCCUAAUUUUAAGAGAUCACUAUUGUUGAAAUUUAUGUAUAGACUUAAUACUUAUAGAUAGCUAGAGGGCAGGAGUAAUUAAACAAAUAACAUACAGAGUACUUCUAGUUUUAGAUAAGUUACUAGCAUCUCCAAUUGUUCCAUGACUCCAUUUAUGUCAUAUAUGCAUAUGAGAAUUCAAACUGUAUGAUCCAAGUAAAUGAGUACCUAUUUACUUCCUUAUCCAUUU
rnacentral:lncRNA from 1 species